AGAAAAACCUUAAAGAUUUAAUCGAAACAUUAACAGACUGUCUGAAGGUUCAAACUAACAGAGAACUACUCAGGAACUUAGAAGAUAUCAGUCCUUGGACUGUCUGGAAGUUCAAUCUAACAGAGAACUACUGUGGGACUUAGAAAAUUUCAGCCCUCAGACUGUGUGAAAGCUCAGGUCCUGAGGACUCGGGAGGUCUGGAGGCUUUGAAAGUCUUGGAACUGAGGGUUCAACCCUCCAGCACAAAGGCUAAAGUCCAACCUCCUGAGAAAAACGAUCGAGUCGAGACUCAAGUUAAAAAAAACUCGAAAAUGGCAAAAAAAAUAGAUGAUAAAUGCGCAAAAAAAAAAAAAAUAUAUUGCGCGCAGCUUAGAGGGAACAGUGGUCCCAAAACUGUUGAUAAAUUAUUUCUCAAUAAAACCUCAUAACCAGUUACAUAAGCACACCCUCUUUACUGACCUCUUUACCAAUAAACCCCAAGACAUACUUUGCCAAAAUCCAUAAUAAUCCAUAAAAUCUUUAUUUGCACCAGCCCCAUGUGAAAAUGACAUCAGUCUGUAUUUGUAGACCAUCUCAUGAAUGUAGCAGCACCGUUUAAAUGUUUCAUAACACAGAAUAUAAGCAAAGAGUAUAUAGGGAUACAGACAAACAUGGGAAAUAAGAAACGUGCUCUUCAAUAGUUAUUGUCAUUAUUAUUACUAGUAAUAUUAUUUUUGUGUCCACUACAACCCAUACAAUCAUCUAGUGUAGUCAAACAGGAAUGUGUGCAUGGCGAAUCAAAUCCAAAACAAUCCAUGAACCAACGACCACGUCUUGAUUGCACUUCAUAUUAUUGACCACUAGAUGUCCUACUCGAGCACUGUGUGUCAUUGAGGCUUCGAGUAAUGAACCAUGUUUUGAAUGAAGUGUCGAAGCUUCAACAAAGCCCCGAUCAGCCAUCACUAUCUGCAAGGUCAUUUUGUUUGUGGGUACCACUGUUACUUCUAAGCUGCGCGCGUGCUUAAUUGCGCACUGCUGACAUGGUCUCCGCGCACAGAAAAUCUGCGCUGCGCACAAAAAAAAAAAAAAAAAUCAACCUAAAUUGUAAAUAAAACAAAUACGUAACAAUUCAUUCUGUGCUAUUUUUCAAUGUGAGUCAGUGAGUGACCGGUGACUGGCUGCUGCAGCCAAUGAUGCGAUUCACAUACGUAUUUACCAUAGACUGUAUAUAAUGGUAUUUACGCAGCUAAUCAACGUCAGACGUCCUUAUGUGCAACCAUCGUUGUUGUCAUAGAUAUGAAUAAGUAGAUAGGACACGCCCCUUUGAGCUGCGUGCUACUGCGAGGCUAAGCUAGUGGGGGCAAAGUUUCAGUGCAUUCCGUUGAUGUAGACGGCGUGAAAACGGAAACAAGUAUGCCGCCUCACUGUGCUGCAUACAAUAAGCCAAAUUGGAAUUCUCAGUACGCAAGCACGUUUAUCCCUCAAUAGCUUCCGGAUCAGAGUUCAUCACACACUACGUUAUCAACAAAGCCAUACUAUCGCAGUGGAACUACCUGCUAUUUGUAGCGACUAUUAAGUGUUUACACUGCUUAGUCUUUUUAAGGCAAUAUGCCAGGUCCCAUUGUUCAGUGCGGGACUGCCACAACGGUACCCGUGGGCUAAAGAAGUGGAUGGAAGAGUUUUGCCCUAUUCACGAGUGCAAUAAAGGAACCUUGCGCUGUAUAUGUGACCCGCCUUAUGUACUCGUCACAUUUCCUACUGAAAGAAAAGAUCCAGAACGUCGUGCCGACUUUGUAGUCGUUAGCAAGUCUCGUUAGCAAGUUUUGCUCGUCCUUGCUAAUCAGAUAAUUAUUGAUAUCUAUGUACAUGCAGGGUGGCCAUUUAUUUGCUGCUGUCGACUCAUUCUCCCAACCUUCUCUGAGCUCUAAAGGAUCUGGAAUUCUCAGGUGACACCCGUCAACAUCGAUCUCGAGCAGGGAUUUAUAAUCAAGGUUGACAGCCUCCCUUUCCUGCUGUUUUGUUAAAACUAUUGGGGCCUUUUGAAAUUACAAUGCCCAAGCAAGGGACACGAGUUCUUUCUUUCGCUUCCCGAUAACACCGUAUCUUCGUUUCUUACAAAAUUCCUUUAAAGCAUCGACUUUACAAUGUUCAAAGUAAUCAAUAUCUGCGUAGCACUCGGCCAUGUUUAUGAUCUGGGGUAUCCCGACAUUUCACCCGGACCAGCAUACCUUGGGCGCGGUGAGAUUCCGAAUUGGCUUAUUACACACUACGUCGUACGAUUGAGACAAGGAAACUUGGAAUGACUUUUCAUAGGUAAGAAUAGUUUUUGGCUCUUUUUUCAUUAUGAAAUCUUGUUGAGAGCUUCCAGUCUAUGAGAGCUAACUAGUUAGCCACUAGCAAAUGCUAAGGCGAGCUAGUAGCUUGACAACCAAAUACCAGACGAUUAAUAGUAGCUGUAGUAUAGUUGUACAAGCAGUAGUAGUAAUACUAAAAGUACAAGCAGCAGUAGUAGUAUAAACAGCUGUUAGAGUCGUAGAAGUAGUAUCAGCAUUUGUAAUAGUAUUACAAGUUGUAGUAGCAGUGCCAGUAUCAGCAGCAGUAGUUAAUGUACUACCACUACUACUAGUAGUAGUCACAUUGCUAUUACUACCACCAAUACUGCCAAUAGUAGUUAUAAAGCCGAACUCAUGUAUAUCCAGAUUACCAUCUAUGUUCUUCCUCAAAACCCAUUUUAUGAUUGGGAUUACAGGCAGUUCUUUAGGACUGCUCUCAAAUAAUUGAAUUGUUACUAAACAAGGUUAUACUUAUCAAAUUAAAUAGCUCUGGUCUCCAGUAUAUUGGCGAAUUCGGUUCUUUGUACUUAAUUUAUUAGCAUGAUUUCUUUUUAAUAUGUUGUGUACAGACUUAAUUACUUCUCUGUCUACUUUUCUUACUCCAUGUAGGUUUCCCAGAGACUAUGGGUUGAGGAGGAAUUGGAAGUUUGUCGGCUUAGACCUGGUGUCAUUCCAUCAGUGUUAACCUUCCCGGCUCAUCUUGGAAGAGUACGUGCCAGAAAGACCACGACCAAGCAGCCUUGAGAUCUUAGGCAGCGUCUCCCUGAGGUCCCUCUCUAUCUCCCCACACAUCCACCAACCACUGGAACACAUCUCCAAAGUUCUGCCGGGCCAGCUCAGCUUCCCCUCAGAAGAAGUGCUGCCAGAUGAAGGAACCUUUUGAGAGGCAGCUGGCAUCGUGAUUGGACUGUACUUUGGUCUGUUCCAAUCCAGCUUCAGCUCCAGAGACGGCAGGCGGGACGAGUCAACGGAGGCCAGGUGGACGAAGGCAUGCAGCUGAGUACAAUCCAGAAAACAACAGAGGAGGAGUGCAGCAUCCCAGGGCCAGAACAGGCAGAGUAGCAUCGUAUGUCUCUUAGAAAACAUCAUAGUAUAGCCUUUGGUAUGAAAAAAUGCCAUCAUAUACAUCGUAUAUUGUACAAAUAUCAAGUCAAAGGAAAGAGACAUACAUUGUAGAAUUGUAGUAAUUGUGGGCUGACUGAUUUACUGAUUAGCAGUAUUUUAUUUUUUUACUGAUUUAUGGUAAUAAAUACAUUUAAAAAUG